ACAUAUACACACAUGCAAAUGUAACUAUCACAUACAUAAAUCAUAUAUAUCUUGUAGCUCUCCAACUAUUAACACACAAAUUCUUGAUCAACACAUCAUUUUCUCAACAAAAUUGAAAAAAAAAAGAAGAGAAACAAAGAGAAAGAAACAGCUUUAUGGGGUGCGAGUGCUUACAACAGAUAAGAUCAGGAUCUUCACUUGGUGAUGGCGUAGACAGCAUAAAUAAUUCCAGGGAGGUAGCCAAAGAAGGUGAGAAGCAAGCAGAUCCAAAACUCCACCUGAAGCAUGCAUAAAUAUAUGUGUAUAUAUAAUCACAUGAUCGAUCUGUGUUUAAUUAUAAGUAAAACUAACUGUGUGUGUGUGUGUGUAAAUUAAUGAGAGAAUAUGGACGGACGUACCCCGCAGCCAAACUUGAGGAAGACACCAAGAGGAGGCAAGAUGAUGGCCAACAAGAUGUCUACGCAAGUGGCUGUUCCCUCGUCUGCCAUCUCCUUAAUUCUUCUGAAAGAUCUAUAUAUACUGCUCUUGAGAAACUGUUUUUCUUCUUUGUGGUGCUAAUAUAUUCUGCGAUGUACAGAGAGUUGAAGAUUGAGGUUGGUUAUAUAUAGGCGCCCCAGAGCCACGUACCCACUGCCCACUAACACAAACUUCCGGUGUACACGUGUCCCACACGUACGUGGUCUAGUAAUACCUACGUUGUAUAAAAAACGAGGAUCAUAUGCACUUCCUUCCUUCGUGUAGGAGUCGUUAAUUAGACGACAAAGGGAGGGGAGGGGAAGGGAAGGGAAGGGGAAGGGGUGGAUGGCACGCUUUUGGGUUGUCAGAAUCGUAUUCAUAUUUGAUAUUUAAUUAUGUACAGGUAGAUAGCUAAGUUUCCUCACAUGCAUGCUGCUUUCCCAGCCAUGUGAUCUUGCUUCUUCUACCACUGGGCAGGCACUUAGCUGUAUCGGGCCGCAAGCACUCCUUCCUUCCCACGCUGCUAUGUUUGUUUGUUUUUGUGAUUCUGCAUUCCAUUUAACUUUAAUUAGUUUAUACA